UACGGAGGAUGCGAGCGUUAUCCGGAUUUAUUGGGUUUAAAGGGUGCGUAGGCGGGAUAAUAAGUCAGCGGUGAAAGUUUUCGGCUCAACCGGAAAAUUGCCGUUGAAACUGUUGUUCUUGAGUGCAGAAGAGGUAGGCGGAAUUCGUUAUGUAGCGGUGAAAUGCGUAGAUAUAACGAAGAACACCAAUUGCGUAGGCAGCUUACCAUACUGCAACUGACGCUGAGGCACGAAAGUGUGGGUAUCAAACAGGAUUAGAUACCCUGGUAGUCCCU
rnacentral:rRNA from 1 species